UCACAAAGCAUUGCACCCAGAAUCUGGUUUACCAGACAUUGUACCUGGAGCUUUUUCUUUUACAUUAAAACCUUAU
rfam:Tetraodon nigroviridis chromosome 16 SCAF14537, whole genome shotgun sequence.